UUUGCGUGUAGAUCAGCAUGAAGUAGAACACAUCUGAAAGAUGUGUGGGCUGCCUGCACUCAACGUUGCGAUAAUUCAGUAGAGUGUAACCUCAAUCGGUUUUUGCAGCUUCUGGGUGUCUUGUCGAACGAUCGCAGAACGAUUUUUUGUUCUUUUCCAACUCGAUUUUUAACUCCCUAGACUAGUAGGAUGUUCCAACGGGUGAAGCAACAGUGCUGACGGCAGAGUUUCAGUGUCAAUUUUUCAUGCCAUGAUCACUGGGGCGGAAACCAUUAUGACGUUGCCUUGGACAUCAAACUAAACCAUCUCAUUCUGGCUUUUUUCUAACAUCGAAAUCUCAGAAGGCCAGGACUAAGAUGGACGCAGCCUCCACAUGCAACCUUGCAUUUGAGGAACACCCAUAGAACGGUCAACUUACCCCAUACUCUAACCUGAAUGCAGGGAUCAUAAAACUUAAUCUUUUACCUUAAUUGUUAGAUGGGUGUUGAUACCAAACUUUUUUGUCUCGUCUACCCAGGAGAAAGUCAUGGGUUCUGCUGCUGAGUGUCUUUUAUUCUGCUUACCUGACUCAUGCAGAAUUCUGGCUUGAUGUUUGGUCCACCUGUUAGCUGGCUCUGGUGCUUGGUAGUCUUCUCAAACCUCUGAAUCAAGGCCACCAUGAGAGGCCUUCUGAAGACCAUCAUUACGCUGCAGAUCCAGUGGUCUUUACUAUGAGCCUACCACAAUCCCUGUGCACCAGCUAUGGAAAGUGCAGACCAAACUUCUACCUCCACCUAUAGAACUGAACUGGAGUCUGUGAACUAAUGCUGUGUUCGAGACAACUGGAACAGCAAACAAAGUUGAGUAUCCGACCUCUCAACUUGUGACUGAUCGAUCAGCACCAACCUCAACGAGAUGCAUCAUUUGACAUUGCAGACAAGAUCCUUUCUCUUUUUAAUGCAGCACUUAAGGAUGAACCACCCUGAUCUACUAAGAUGCACAGAUUCAACUCUGGCCCAGCAUCAUCCCCACACUCUCAUCUGCCAUCAGUUUAAUUUAAUGUCUGUCAAUUGCAAAUGCUAUUUAUUUCAGUUAUAUUACAACUUAAUGUUAACUUUAAUUGAGACUAGUAUUGUGUAAAGCUGGGGUUUCCAAACUUUUCAUUUCAAAACCUAUUAGAUAAGUGUAAUCUAUUCUAGACCCACUAAAAUAUUUUUACAUAUACAUUUUUUUAAUGGGGUAAAACACAUUUGUUCUCUUUCAGUGGAGUCAUUUUAUUUUCAUAAUAUUUCAUAAUGUAAAGCAGUGGUUCUUAACGUUAUUCCUCGAGGCCCACUGCUCUGCACAUUUUGUAUGUCUCUUUUAUCUGACAGACUCAGUUCAGUUCAUUGAGAUCUCUUCUAAUGAGCUGAUGAUUUGAAUCAGGUGUGUUAAAUAAGGGAGACAUACAAAAUGUGCA